rnacentral:piRNA from 1 species
GCCAGAACUAACUGGAAGUGGCACAUUG